GAAAAUCUUAAUUCUCAAAAAUCGGGAAGUUAUUGGUUUUACCCGGUUUUACAAAAAUCGCGUUUUCAUCUGAUUUCGACGUUUGAGGGUCAUAGAAAGCUGCCCUGACUAUCGCCGCGAGGGUGUCACUAUAUCUGUAUGUGUGUGUGUGUGUGUGUGUGUGUGUGUGUGUAUGUGU